GUACAAGAGUUCAGUUGGUAGAGCAUCAGACUUUUAAUCUGAUGGUCCAGGGUUCAAGUCCCUGUUUGGGCA
rnacentral:tRNA from 1 species